CUUGUUUUAAAUUCUUACAACAGAGUUACAGUGGACACUCAAAACUAUUACUUGAUAGAUCAGAUCAGUGAUCUCUCAAGUGGAGUUUGUUCUUUAUAACGGUCAUUUAAGAUCACAGAUUAGGGUACUGGAAAAAAAUAUUAGCACUUUCAAAACUUUUUCAAAACUUUUUCAAUUUUGUUAUUUUAUAAUGCACAUAUAUAGUAUAUUAGGGCCAUGUAUAUUACUUAAAAUAAGAAUGUGGAUUUGAAUUAUUUACCAAAGGGUUACAUGUUGGAAAAGUUGAAUCACUGUAUUAGAGCAAGCAUUUGCAUAUAAACAUAAAGGGUAAUACUCAGCUCCUUGUGAAACAAAGUUUUUGUCAUAUUAAGUUCUUAAUCAUCCAAUUGCAAUAUUUUAGCUGAUGCUUGUGCUUUUGAGAGCUCUUGAAAUAAAGAAACUUCAAAUUUGAUUUAUUAAAUUGGAAUUAUUAGUAACUAAAGAAUCCCAGGUUUUUGUUCGCAAGCAGAAUCUGAUCAUCAAUCAGAAUUCCUAUCCUUAUCAGACUUCUUUAUGUCUCUAGAUUUAUAAUCUUAAUCAAUUUUUUUCCCAAUUAGUCCAGUUCUACUCCAAAUAAACCUUCUCUUAUAUGUUUAGUCCCCAGGGUCGAGAACUGCUUCAGGUGGGCUAUACAAGGUAGAAUGAGUUUUUGGCUACCUUCUCGGGCAUUUUGAAGGCAUAUUUAAAAACAGAUGCUUGAGACUUGGCAUUAACAAGAAACAAGCACAAGAAUCUAUUUCCUGUCCUUAGUGAGAAGCAUUAAAAUGACUGGAGCACUAUAACAGUAUAGGAGAUACGCCAGUGGGCCAGACAAGUAAGUGGCUUGGAGCGUGAGUAGACAGUAUACCAGAUGCUGGAGAAGGCUUUCCAGACAACAUAGUUGAGAAGAGCUCACAGAAAUAUGCUUGUCCGGUAUUUGUGAAGAGUUAGCGGCUAUUAUUUAUUUAAUGAUGUUUUGAGAGGAUUUGAAUUACAUGUUGCUACACUAACAGCAGCAUCCCAGAUUCAAUGACUUAAAACAGUAAUUUCUUACAUACCAUGAUCUGUGAUUUGACUGGGCUCAGUUCUUUUGCGCCACAUACUAGAGAAUGCAGUCAGUCAUGAAGUUGCAUUUAGCUGGGAAUUUGGGACUGGAAUGUCUCCAAGUCUUUUUUUUUCCAUGUAGUUUCUCAUUAGUUAGUUUAGCCCAGCGUUCCUUACAACAUGACAACUGACUUGUGAUAGGAUGAGGGAAAAAUAGCACUGAGUAUGUCUGUACACCUCAUUGCACUGUAGAGCAUGUGUGAGAGAGAAAUGAAAUUGCAAGGUUAGUGUUAAAUUAACGUAGUCUGGGAUGCCUACGCGAGUAGACUGUGCAUGUUGGAGCAAGGGAAAAUUUUACGAGAUACCAGGGAUUGACUCUAGAAGGGAAACUGCAGAAAUACUGAGGGACUGUUUAAAUAGAAACUCAUUAAGGCAUUGUACUUGAAUUUGAAGGUGAGAGAAGGGGAAAAAAAGUCAGAUGGGUGAGAUUUUUGAUUUUUUUAACUAUUGCGAUGAGACAAAAUAAUGCUAUCAAAGUUCAGAAGAGGGAAGAUAGAAAGGCAGUUCAGCUAUUUAACUUUAGAUUUGAGAUUGAAUCCAAUGGCCUUUUGAGUUGAUUAGGAGGCUUUUGAGUGACCUUCAAGAAACCAAUUCAAGUGUUAAUUCGCAAGUUAUAUUGUAGGGUUUUAAGGAAUUUAAUGUGUGAUAAAGAAAUGGAGAGCUGUGUUUUUUCUGCACUGGGCCAGCUCUCCUGCUACAUUUCCUCAUUCCCUGAAAAUGUUUUAUGCCUGAGCCAAGUUCGUCUCCACCCCAUCCUUGGUCAGGAGCACCUCAGCUGCUGAGUGUGCUAUGGUGCUGAAACAACCAGAGACCCUGACAGAUGAUAGCCGUGACAUCUUGGCAGCCUCACAUCCGCUGAACUCGCUUAUUUUCAGUCGUAGCUUCCCAACAAGCGCCAUUUCAAGGGACAUUGACAUAGCAGCUAAGUUCUCUGAGCCUGAGACUAGGUGCCUCAUCAUGGGUUAUGCCAGGAACCCCCCUGAAGCAACAGCUCUUCUGUGCCAUUCUAGGAUCUGCUAUCUCAGAAGCCCUGGGGCUCUUCUGCCUGAUGGUCGCCUUUCUCUUUGCCAUGUGAAGGAGUCAUCUCCACCUCCCAUAAUUCUUUAAGUCACUCGGGAUCUGAACGUGCAGCCAGAUUUGAAUUUGUUGGGAGUAUUUUAGGGAAGAACUUUGUGACAGUGUUAAAAUGAAAAAGUGAGAAGUGAUAGGGAUCCAUUUAAAGUUAGGUAGUAUGGAUUUGUGAGAUCUCUGUUGACAUCUUUUAAAGUAUUGUGAUUUAUUUUCUUAGCACUGAUUUUUCCAUUCUGUUUUCUUCCUCAGGGAACUCCAAGAGCAUCUAAUAGAAGCUGUGCAAUUAUGUAAACUUCUCAGAACAAUUGUCUUCCUCAAAAUAAAGACGUAUGGUAAUC